rnacentral:rRNA from 1 species
GCAAACAGGAUUAGAUACCCUGGUAGUCCACGCCGUAAACGAUGAGUACUAGGUGACGGGGAAUUAUUUCUUCGGUGCCGUAGCUAACGCAUUAAGUACUCCGCCUGGGGAGUACGACCGCAAGGUUGAAACUUAAAGGAAUUGACGGGGGCCCGCACAAGCGGUGGAGCAUGCGGUUUAAUUCGAUGCAACGCGAAAAACCUUACCUACCCUUGACAUCCACAGAAUUUCUUAGUGAUAAGAAAGUGCCUUCGGGAACUGUGUGACAGGUGCUGCAUGGCUGUCGUCAGCUCGUGUCGUGAGAUGUUGGGUUAAGUCCCGUAACGAGCGCAACCCUCAUCCUUUGUUGCCAGCGCGUAAUGGCGGGGACUCUAAGGAAACUGCCGGUGAUAAACCGGAGGAAGGUGGGGAUGAUGUCAAGUCAUCAUGGCCCUUAUGGGUAGGGCUACACGCGUGCUACAAUGGACAGUACAAUAGGUUGCAAUACCGCGAGGUUGAGCUAAUCCUUAAAGCUGUUCUCAGUCCGGAUUGAAAUCUGAAACUCGAUUUCAUGAAGUCGGAAUCGCUAGUAAUCGCAAAUCAGAAUGUUGCGGUGAAUAUGUUCUCGGGCCUUGUACACACUGCCCGUCAAACCAUGGGAGUGGGUUGUACCAGAAGCAGGUUGACUAACCUUCGGGAGGUCGCUUACCACGGUAUGAUUCAUGACUAGGGUUAAGUCGUAACAAGGUAGCCGUAGGGGAACCUGUGGCUG